rnacentral:rRNA from 1 species
CUCUGGCCAUCCUUGGGGAGAUCCUGUUUGGCAUUAAGUUGUCGGGCAGGGGAUACCCAUCGUUUACUGUGAAAAAAUUAGAGUGUUUAAAGCAGGCUUAUGCCGUUGAAUAUAUUAGCAUGGAAUAAUAAGAUAGGACUUCGGAACUAUUUUGUUGGUUUGCGUUACGAAGUAAUGAUUAAUAGGGACAGUUGGGGGUAUUCGUAUUUCGUUGUCAGAGGUGAAAUUCUUGGAUUUCCGAAAGACGAACUACUGCGAAAGCAUUUACCAAGGAUGUUUUCAUUAAUCAAGAACGAAAGUUAGGGGAUCGAAGAUGAUUAGAUACCAUCGUAGUCUUAACCAUAAACUAUGCCGACUCGGGAUUGGUGG